AGAGGUUCUUGGGUGACGCACCCCAGAAUCAGGUUCCCUCCUCUCUGGUUCUGGGGUGCGUCACCCGAGAACCGCU
rfam:Myotis lucifugus cont2.47148, whole genome shotgun sequence.